rnacentral:misc_RNA from 1 species
AGAGAUUUUCCUUCCCACCUUCCUUCAGGCGUUCCCCUGUCCAGAGCAAAGCCCUUCCAAAAUGACAUUGCUACUUCCACAUUCUCAGUUCACUAUUACUCGAUAGUCACCUCCCUCUACUUCAAUCCCAUCUCCAUCGCCUCAUUCUCAUACGCAAUAAACCAAACUUUAACAUCCCAUUUCGAUGUUGGCUUCAACAUCACGUGCAUCACCAUCUUCGCCUUCACAGUUCACACAACAACCUAAUCUCACGCCAAGCCCGAAAUCAGCUUCCCCCUACACCUAUGCAACUGCUUCAGAGAGUUGGUGGGUUUUGAAGAACUGCUUCAAGCGUGAAUUGCUUUAGAGAGUUGCGAUAUACUAUGAGAGAAGGAACUGUUGAAUGGGUUUUGUGAAGGCUUGAUUGAAAUACAGUGAAGGGGAAAAGGGAUGGCUUUUAGUGUGGUUGCUGGAAAAAAAGAAAGAGAUAGAGGGUGACUAAAUCUAUGAUAAAAUGCAAAAUGGAUCUUGAUUGAAGAAAUAGGAACUACUGAUUUGAUUAUGUCAGCGUUUAAUUAAUCUAUUGGAGGUAGCCAAUGGGUAUUGAAGCAAAAGAGUGAAAUUGGCCUUAGUUUGAGGAGGAUGAUGACAAUAUGUGGGUGGAGAGGGAGAGGAGUUGAGAUUGUACUGAUGUGGAAGAGCAUUAGGAAGACUGUGGCAUGGCGUUUCUACCCAGGAGUGAAGGGAUGCUUCUUGAAGGGUAGUGGUGCUUUGUCGACGUGUUUGCUACAAGUGCUGGUGAGAGAAUAGUUUAAACAGAGCUCUAUGCAUGGUCUUUGGUUGUAACGUUGGCCAAGGAUUGAGAUGGUGCUGCCCAAUGAAGAAGAUGAAUCUAUGUUCUUGGUGGAAGUCAG